rnacentral:lncRNA from 1 species
GCUGCUCUGAAACAAAAAUCAAUGGCUAUCCCUCUAACCAAAAUAAUCUUCCCCUACAACAUACACAUGCAAAAGACCUUUCCACUCAAGUAUCAUGUUCCAACUCCAAUUACAGGAGGUCAAGUACCAUUUCUAAGGCUGGCAAGAAGAGAAGAUAGACAACAAAAAUGUAGAGAAGUUAUUGCUUUGUCCCAAGAAGACUACUGCACUGUAGCAGAGCUUGACAUAAAGGAAGCAAAAGACAAUAAUGAAGAAAUUACAAUACCUAAAGAACCUGAGAGGAAGUUAGCAGACAUUUGGCGUGACAUCCAUGGUGUGGAUGAUUGGGAUGGUAUGCUAGACCCCCUGGAUCCCCUCUUGCGAUCUGAGCUAAUACGGUAUGGGGAAAUGGUACAAGCUUGUUAUGAUGCCUUCGAUUUUGAACCAUUCUCCAAGUAUUGUGGCUGUUGUAAAUAUGCACCAAGUGAGUUUUUUGAGUGUCUUGGCAUGACACAGCAUGGGUAUCAGGUAAACUCUUACAUUCAUGCCACAUACAACAUAAAUCUCCCAAACAUUUUCCAGAGAUCACUCCGACCUGAUGCAUGGAGUCACACAGCAAAUUGGAUUGGGUAUAUUGCAGUUUCCAAUGAUGAAAUGUCAGCACAUCUAGGACAAAGGGACAUAACCAUUGCUUGGCGGGGCACAAAGACAAAGCUGGAGUGGAUAGCUGACUUCAUGUAUUUUCUAAGGCCCAUUACAUUGAAAAAGAUCCCCUGUCCGGAUCCCAGGGUCAAAGUUGAGUCUGGGUUCCUCAAUCUCUAUACCAACAAGGAUCAAAGUAGUCAAAUUUGCAAGCGCUCGGCAAGAGAGCAUGUUUUAGAAGAAGUCAGGAGACUAGUAAGUCAGUACCAGAAUGAGAACUUGAGCAUCACAAUCACAGGUCACAGCCUAGGGAGUGCAUUAGCAAUACUAAGUGCAUAUGACAUAGCUGAGACUGGGGUAGAUGUCAUGGAUGAUGGGCAGGCAGUCCCUAUAUGUGUUUUCUC